GAUGAAGAACGUAGCGAAAUGCGAUAAGUAAUGUGAAUUGCAGAAUCCAGUGAAUCAUCGAAUCUUUGAACGCACAUUGCGCCCGCCAGCAUUCUGGCGGGCAUGCCUGUUCGAGCGUCAUUUCAACCCUCGACCUCCCUUUGGGGAAGUCGGCGUUGGGGACCGGCAGCACACCGCCGGCCCUGAAAUGGAGUGGCGGCCCGUCCGCGGCGACCUCUGCGUAGUAAACCAACUCGCACCGGAACCCCGACGUGGCCACGCCGUAAAACACCCCACUUCUGAACGUUGACCUCGAAUCAGGUAGGACUACCCGCUGAACUUAAGCAUAUCAAUAAGCGGAGGA
rnacentral:misc_RNA from 1 species